rnacentral:rRNA from 1 species
GGUGGUGGUGCAUGGCCGUUCUUAGUUGGUGGAGUGAUUUGUCUGGUUAAUUCCGUUAACGAACGAAACCCCUGCCUGCUAAAUAACUCUGCUAAUGCUUUUGUAUUGGUUGGCGUUUCUUAGAGGGACUUUCGGUGACUAACUGAAGGAAGUUGGGGGCAAUAACAGGUCUGUGAUGCCCUUAGAUGUCCUGGGCCGCACGCGCGCUACACUGAUGCAUUCAGCAAGUUCUCCCCUUGGCCGAGAGGCUUAGGUAAGCUUGUUAACGUGCUUCGUGAUAGGGAUUGAAUCUUGCAAUUUUUAUUCAUGAACGAGGAAUUCCUAGUAAACGCAGAUCAUCAAUCUGCAUUGAUUACGUCCCUGCCCUUUGUACACACCGCCCGUCGCACCUACCGAUUGAAUGGUCCGGUGAGGCCUCGGGAUCGUGGCAAACUUCCUUUAUUGGAGGUGAGCUGUGAGAACUUGUCCAAAUCUUAUCAUUAGAGAAGUGAGUCGAGACC